AACAAGUAAAAAUUAAGCGUUUUCAAAUUCUGAGAAAUGGGGAAUGACAGAUGGGUACAAUUGUUUGCCAAGACUGUAACGAAGCGAUUCAUUACUUUGAGGAUGAGAAGGUCACGACGUUAUACGGAACAUGCUGCGGACAAUGCCAGUGUCAUCUUGAAGAAGAGUAAAAAGCGUAAAAAGGCCCGAAACGAUUUCGUUUCGGGCUUCUUUAUGUUUA
rfam:Bacillus amyloliquefaciens FZB42, complete genome.